AACUGCUUGUCAGGGCCAGAGAGGAGGAAGCAGAUAGCUGUGAACAUGGCCGUAAAACACCAAGUGAAUACCAGGAGGCCGCAGAGGAGCUGUAUAUUACUUCAGGACUCCUGACUAUCAGAAUACACGUGCAGAGGACCCAUCCAAACAACGACAAAGAAGAAGAGGUUGCUGAUGGAGGAUGUCAUCACAAUAGACAUUGUAUCCUGGUGAAGAAGACUCCAGACCGCUAUGCAGACUACAUUCUCCCGAGAGCUGCGGAGACAAGGAGGCAAGAAGAACUGGGGACGAUGACGCAUCGACUCCUGAAGAUCCAACUGGCAGCAGCAGAUGCAGAAGCAACGAAAAAACAGAGAGUCAGGAAACAACUGUCGGUGAGAGAUGAACAACCUCAAUACCCUGUUCCUCCAGAAGCCAC